rnacentral:lncRNA from 1 species
GAAUUAUUAAUUUUUCAUAGAUUAUUUUCUCCUAUUAAUCUUGUGUUGUUUUUUCUCCACUAGAUCUACGAGGAGCGAAACAAAAAUCGGUUCGUGGACUAACAUCAUAGGUGUGACUGAAUUGAAAUCACCGGUGAUCGCUUUUUCUACUCCUUUGAUGUGCUUUGAUCUAUUUUUCUUUUUGACCAUUUUGAACAUAAUCUCCAAUGUAACAACUGUGAUUUCUUUGAUUAUUAGGUAUAUAUAAAAUUGUGAGCAUAAGAUGACCUAAUUUUGUCUUGGAUUUAAAAAAGGUAUAAAAUAAUGAAAUUUAUAUAUUGUCAACUUUAGUUAAAUUUAAAUUUAUUUCUUUAGUUUAUAUAAGUAACAUAACUUUUUUAUUUGAAUUUGCAGGUGAUUGCAUGCCAUUGACAUGGUCUAGUAAGUGUCUUGUAAUUUUAUAUUAGUACUAUGUGGUUUGACUUAUAUAAUAUAAUAUAUGAUUGUUAAUUAGUUAUAUAGGUGGAGGAGAAGAAAAGAGGAAGACAAACUAAACAACUCCUCAAUUUUGUUACAAUGAUGCUAUUGACAUUGAACAGGUAAGUAUGGAUCUAAGAGUCAGUUUGGUUAAGAUUAUAAAAAAAAAAAAAUACAUUUUUAUUUUGAUUAAGUUCUGUUUGUGUUAAGUUUUGUAAAAACAUAUUUUGUCAAAAAUUUACUUAUAUGUUGAAAUAAUUUUUUUUUUGUUAAUUAGCUUUUGAAGAAAAACAUUUUUAAUAGAAGAGAAGGUAGUACACAAUCUCUUUCAUAAUUUGAACCAUACACAAUGGUUUAUGUUAUUCUUUUAUUUUCAGAAGUAGAUUAUUUAUGAUAUUCUUUAAAAGAUCUAUAUUAUUUAAUAUUAAAAUCAGUUUUCUUUUUCAUCUAUUGUACAAUCUUGCCUUUGAUUUCGUGAUUAUAUUAAAUAAAGUUUAUAAGAAAGUUUCAUGUUAUUGUAACGUUUGAAAGAUAGUUAUUCAUUAAUUAAUUUAAUGUUUAAAAUGUGAAAUAUAAUGUACAUCACAUUCAGUAGCAAGUUCAGUUGACUUUCUUAUAAAGCUGUUAAUAUUUGGAGUUAAUAUUUGGAGGAGCUUCAUAAAGAAUGAAAUUAAUUGAUUUGAACGGAAAUCUUUGUUUGAGGGUAAAUGUAGAUAUUGCAUAAAUAAUUAUAGAAAUCUUUAGUCGACAUAAAUAGCAAAUUUAUUGAAGAUAUAAAAAAAAAAUUCUAAUUUGUCACGAUUCAUAUUAAAAAAUUAAAUAAUAAAAUCCAUUUUAUUAUUUGCUAAUUUUUUUUGUAGCCAUAUUUAAAACUUCACGUGUUCGAUUAUCAACCCGUUUGCUCAAUUUAAUUUUCCCAUUCAUUGCUCUUUCUCUCACCGAAAAUAUUCGAGUUUUAAGUGGAGUAACAAACACCUCUUUCUCAAGAUUAUAUUUCUUAUGAGAAUUGUUUAAGAGGUGGUUGUUACUCGACUUGAAGCUCGAAGAUUUUCUGUAAGUGAAAUAGCUGUUAAGAAGUCCCACAUCGGUUGCGAGAUGGUCUGACUAAGUGUUUAUAUACUAGAGGCAAUCCUCACCUUACAAGCCGGUUUUGUAAGGAUGAGUUAGGCCCAAUAUCCAUUUCUAAGAUGGNNNNNNAGGGGGUGUGUUAAGAAGUCCCACAUCGGUUGCGAGAUGGCCUGACUAAGUGUUUAUAUACUAGAGGCAAUCCUCACCUUACAAGCCGAUUUUGUAAGGAUGAGUUAGGCCCAAUAUCCAUUUCUAAGAAGAGCAAAGAAUCGGACAAUUGAAUUGAGUAAAUGUGUUGAUAAUUGAACACAGGAUGUUUUAAGAUAUGACUACAAAUGUUUUAGAAAAUAAUAAAAUUGAUUUUUAUUAUUUAAUUUUUAUUAUGAAUUAAGACAAAUUUGUAAUUUUUUAUAUAUAUUCUCUAAAUUUGGUAUUUCAUUACAACUAAAACUUUGUAGAAUUGUUUAUGCCGUACUCUACUUAUUUACUCUAGAACAAAAACUUCCGUUCAAAGGCAGAAGUGAUUAAUUUCAUUUUUUACUAAGCUUCUCCAAAUGCUAACAAUAAGAAGAGAAAUCUGGCUGAACUGAAUGUGAUAUACAUCACGUUUAACAUUUCAAACAAUGAAUUAAUUAAUGAAUAACUAUGUUUUAAACAUUAAAAUAACAUGAAAUUUUUUCCCUACAUUUUGUGAAUACAUGUUGGAACAAAGAACACAUUAGUGUGUGAAUUGAAAAUAAAAUUUUGAGUCCCUUAUCGGGUACUAGAACAUACUAGUGUGUAAUUUAUUUUUUUUGGAAAAAUAAAUAAAUUAAGUCUCGCAUCCGUUGUCUUUGACCUUCUCCGUUCGUGCUUCGUAUCCGGUUCUUGGCUGGGUCGAAUUUCAUGGAUGACGUUUGUAAGACCCGAGAAAUUUAUUUUAAUAUAUAGUAACUAAUUUAUUUACGUGUCAAAAUACUCUAACUUUAUAUCUUUUACAACAAGUUGUUUUAUACUAUGAUUUUAUUUAUUGAUCAGAGAACUUUACAUCAAUAUUUUUAUUUUAUACUUUUAAGGACGAAACUAUUUUUAAGGGGGUAAUAAUGUAAGACCCGAAGUAUUAUAUAUAUAUGUCAUUCUUAGUAUUCCUAUUGAUUUAUUAUUUAAUUAAUAUAACUUAUUUUAUUUCUUGUUUUGAUUAAUUAUUAUAUGAUCUAUUUUAAUAAAAUUACUUCUUGACUAUCACUCGCCACUCAUAUUGGAUUCGAACAGGAGACCAUGAAGGUUGAUGACGUAACCACAAGAUGGUUUGAUGGUUUGUGGUUACGUCACCAACCUUCAUGGUCUCCUGUUCGAAUCCAGCACGAGGGGCGAGUGAUAGUCAAAAAAGUAUUAAAAAUCAAUUGUCUUAUUAUUUUAGAAAUAUAAGUGGCCAAACCAUUUUAAUAUCACGUGAUUGACUUUAGCAAAUGAUUCAAAAUUACAAGGAAAUAGAAUUAGUAUGUCCUUCAUGGUCAAUUUUGAAUCAUUUGCUAAAGUCAAUUACGUGAUACUAAAAUGGCUUGACCACUUAUAAUUCUAAAAUAAUAAGAUAAUUGAUUUCUAACACUUUAGAUAAUUUUAUUAAAAUAGAUCAUAAAAUAAGUUAUAUUUAAUUAAAUAAUAAAUCAAUAGAAGUACUAAGAAUGACAUAUAUAAUAUAUAUAAAAUAUCGGUUUAUGUUGUUACAAUUUUGCUCUAACUUAUUUGUCUUCGGUGCUUCUGUGAGUAAGAAGGAGGUUGUUUUGUUCGAUCAAGUCCUUGUCGCCGGUUUCAUGAUCUUGGGACUGGUUUUGUUUCAUGAUCGUGGGCGAUGGUGGUGGAUCUCUGCGUGGUGAGUGUUGCAGUUCUCUUCGUCCUCAAUGGGGUGUACAUGGAUUGGGCAAAUCCGGUUGACCCGGUCAAACCCACCCUAUCCAACCCAAAAAAUUGGGUCGGGCAAUUGAGUGGAAAUGAAUUUCAAAAAUAAAAAACCCAUAAAAAAAUCGGGUUAUGGGUAAAACUGUACCCAACCCAAAAAACUCACUGACCAACUAGUGUUAUGGUUUUUUGAAAUAGUUUUUAUGAAAAUACUAAAGGUUUUGUCAUUUGAUCGUUAAAUAUUUUUAUAGUAAAAAUAAGUUAUACUAUUUAUUAAGAAAAUAAAAAGAUUGAAUAAUUUUUAUAAACAAAUAUGAUAAAUUAUCGCACUAUUUUUAAAAAAUGAAAAAAAUUGAAUAACUUUUAAAAACAAAUGUCAUAAUUCAUCACAAUAUUUUUUUGAAAAAUAAAAAUAUUUAAUACAGUAAUUUUUAUAAAUGAUUUAUCGUUUAGUCAUUUGAUAUAAAAAAACAAAAAAAAAUUUGGAUAGCACAAUAUCCAACCCGUAAAUUAGUGGGUUCACAUAAAAAAUUGGUGAUUAUUUUUCAUAGUGAAAAAAAGUUACACUAUUUUUCAAGAAAAUACAAUGAGUGAGUUAUUUUAAUGGAAAAAUGCGAUGAUUCGUCAUUUAGAUAUUUAAUAUUAAAAAAAAUAGAAAAAUAAUUUGGGUAACUCACGAUCCAACCCAACCCCGGAAAUUAGUGGAUUUACCCAACUCGGCCCAAUGUUGUAACAGGUGGUUAUUUUACUAGACCCAAUCUGGAGUACCCUAUGUGGUUCGGAUUUUGGUUUUGGCCAAACCCAACCCAAUCCGGCCCAUGUACAGUAGGGAUGUACUUGGGUCGGAUUAGGUUGGAUUUGGCCAAAACCAAAACCUGAACCACAUAGGAUACUCUGGAUUGGGUCUAGUAAAAUAACCACCCGUUAUAACAUUGAGCCGAGUUGGGUAAAUCCACAAAUAUCCAUGUUGAAUUGGGUUGGCUAGUGAGUCACCCAAAUUAUAUUUCUAUUUUUUUAUAUUAAAUAUAUAAAUAUCGAAUGUUUUAAAAAUAACUAAACCAAUAUAUUUUCUUGAAAAAUAGUAUAACUUUUUUUCAAUAUAAAAAUAAUCACAAUAUUUUGUGUAAACCCUCUAAUUUACGGAUUGGAUAGUGUGCUAUCCAUUUUUUUUUUGUGUUUUUUAAUAUCAAAUGAUUAAACGAUGAAUCAUCAUAUUUGUUUAUGAAAAUUAUUCAAUUUUUUUUAAAUAGUGCGAUGAAUUAUCAUAUUUGUUUAUAAAAAUUAUUCAAUUUUUUUAUUUUCUUUAAAAUUAGUAUAACUUAUUUUCAAUUUAAAUAUAUUUAACGAUCAAAUGGCAAAAUCUUUAGUAUUUUAAUAAAAAAAUAUUUCAAAAAAAAAUACACUAGUGGGUUAGUACAGUUUGUUGGGUUGAGUCCGGUUUUACUCGUAACCCGAUUUUUUUAUGGGCUUUUCAUUUUUGAAAUUCAUAUCCAACCACUUGCCCGACCCAAUCCACUUUUUUGGGUUGAAUUGGGUGGGUUUGACCGGGUCGACAAGAUUUGUCCAUUCCAUGUACACCCCUACACGUACACCCCUAGUCCUCAUUGUGUUGGUUUUGAUCUCUGAUUUCUUUCAGAUCUGUUGAGAUCUGUAGUUUUCUUGAUUGUUGCUUCGCCACCUCUGUGCCGAUGGACUUGGGUUGUUUGGAAGAUGGUUCUGGUCGUGUUCAUUCGGACUUGCGACAGUCUUAGCCUUUUAAUCUAGUUUAGUCCUUGUUGAUUAAAUUCAAACGGUAUGGCCAGAAAUUACUAUGAAUUUGUUGAUCUCUUUACCGCAAAUUGUUGGUGUGUGGGUCAUAUAUUUUUUACGCAAGUGCGUGGGUCAUUACCGUGUUGGCGAUUGUCCCUUCGCCGUUUUAAAAAUCAGGGCUUGAUGGUUAGCUGCCCUAACACAUCUUUUUUUGCAAUUCGGUUUCACUCCUGUUUGUGGGUUCGCUGGAUUGUGCUCAUGUUAUGUAGGGAUACGCUUCCGGAUGUGAUUUUAUGGUUUCGUACCCUUUAGAGAAGUUUUGUUUUUGCCUCUUUGGAUUGUUUGAUUUUGCUUACUGGGUUUAGGCUUUAUGUCCCCUAGUUAUUGUAAUUUUCCUUUUUAUUUUAAUCUACUUAGGGUGUCGCAGUUCCUUCUGCACCCAAUUUGUUUAAAUAAAAUAAAAUUAAUCACUUCUGGCUUUGAGAGUAAAUGUGUAAAAUACUGCAUAAAUAAUUAUACAAAAUUUUAGUCUUCAAGAUAUAUAAAAAAAAUGUUAAUUUGUCACUAAGUAAAAAAUAAAUAAUUUAAAUUCAUAUUAUUAUUUGCUAAAUUUUUUGUAGCCAUAUUUUAAGACAUGCCAUAUUCGAUUAUCAACCCGUUUACUCGAUUCAAUUGUACAAUUCUUUGUUGUUUCUGUCACAGAAAAUAUUCGAGUUUCAAGUAGAGUAACAACCAUCUCCUUCUGGGGAUCAUAUUUCUUAGGAUCAUAUUUGACUUGAAACUCAAAGAUUUUCUAUGACAGAAAGAGCAAAGAAUUUGACAAUUGAAUAUUGAGUAAACGAGUUGUUUUAAAAUAUAACUACCAAUUUUUUGUAGUAAAUAAUAAAAUGAUUUUUAACAACGCAAAAAUUUCUGUUCAUGCUGCAAUUAUAAAGGCGUUAACUUCCAUCUCCAUGAGUGCAAAAUUGAUCAUAAAGACGUUUAACAGUUCUUCCGCGUCUAUGGGUUUAUUCUGUGAUCAUUCAACAAAGUUUUGCGGCGGAUUUGUGCAAAAUAUUACUGGUACUGUGUUGCAUGCUGAGCUCAUGACUAUGAUCUUUGCAGUGGAAUUGGCAUACAGUAAAGGGUGGAAAUUUUUGUGGCUUGAGAAUGACUCCCAAUCUGCCCUUGUUAGCGUUCGAUAAUAACAAUCUAGUGCCAUGGGAUCUCCGAAACAGGUGGUUGAAUUGUUGUUAUCUUCAACUCACUAUUGGUUGGUCUCACAUUUAUCGUGAGGGAAAUUCU